rnacentral:rRNA from 1 species
GUCUACGCCAUGCCACCCUGAACAAGCCCGAUCCUGUCUGAUCUCGGAAGCUAAGCAGGGUCGGGCCUGGUUAGUACUUGGAUGGGAGACCACCUAGGAAGACCAGGUGCUAUAGGUG